rnacentral:tRNA from 1 species
UGGCUCAGUGGUAGAGCGCCUGCCUUGCAUGCAUGAGGCCCUGGGUUCGAUUCCUCAG